UCGAGAGGCUUCGGCAAUGGGGGAAACCCUGACCGAGCGACGCCGCGUGCGGGAUGAAGGCCCUCGGGUUGUAAACCGCUGUCAGGAGGGAAGAAUCCUCCCGGGUUAAUACCCUGGGAGUUGACGGUACCUCCAGAGGAAGCUCCGGCUAACUCCGUGCCAGCAGCCGCGGUAAUACGGAGGGAGCGAACGUUGUUCGGAUUUACUGGGCGUAAAGGGUGCGUAGGCGGUCUUGCAAGUCAGAGGUGAAAUGCCCCGGCUCAACCGGGGACCUGCCUUUGAAACUGCAGGACUUGAGGACGUGAGAGGAGACUGGAAUUCCUAGUGUAGCGGUGAAAUGCAUAGAUAUUAGGAAGAACACCAGUGGCGAAGGCGAGUCUCUGGCACGUUCCUGACGCUGAGGCACGAAAGCUAGGGGAGCGAACA
rnacentral:rRNA from 1 species